ACGCUCGACACCUACGGAGGCAGCAGUUAGGAAUAUUGGGCAAUGGAGGAAACUCUGACCCAGCAACGCCGCGUGAAGGAAGAAGGUUUUCGGAUUGUAAACUUCUGAUCUAGGGGAAGAAGGAAGUGACGGUACCCUAGGAGAAAGCCACGGCUAACUACGUGGCAGCAGCCGCGGUAAUCUGAGCGGGCUGGCAAGGC
rnacentral:rRNA from 1 species